rnacentral:rRNA from 1 species
GACGAACGCUGGCGGCGCGCUUAACACAUGCAAGUCGAGCGAUGAAACUUUAACAGAACCCUACGGGGCGUAGCUAAAGUGGCUUAGCGGCGGACGGGUGAGUAACCCGUGAGUAACCUGCCUUAGACCUUGGGAUAGCCUCAGCAAACCGGGAUUAAUACCAAUUAACAUCAUAAUGACACAUGUCAUAACGAUCAAAACUCCGGUGGUCUAAGAUGGACUCGCGUCCCAUUAGCUAGUUGGUAGAGUAAAAGCCUACCAAGGCGACGAUGGGUAGCCGGCCUGAGAGGGUGAACGGCCACAUUGGAACUGAGAAACGGUCCAAACUCCUACGGGAGGCAGCAGUGGGGAAUAUUGCACAAUGGAGGGAACUCUGAUGCAGCGACGCCGCGUGAACGAAGAAGGCUUUCGAGUCGUAAAGUUCUUUUAUAUGGGAAGAUAAUGACGGUACCAUAAGAAAAAGCCCCGGCUAACUACGUG